UUGUGGAGGAGGACGCCGAAGGUGGGGCUAAUGACUGGGGUGAAGUCGUAACAAGGUAGCCGUACCGGAAGGUGCGGCUGGAUCACCUCCUAACAGGGAGACAACAAAAUGUUAAAUAUUGAUUUUGUCACCUUAGGUCGAUCGGUAUCUCACAUUCUUAAUUAUUUAAGGAUUUUAUUUCCUAAGUUUUUUCUAGGUCACACCCAUUACUUUUCCUGGGCCAUUAGCUCAGGUGGUUAGAGCGCACCCCUGAUAAGGGUGAGGUCCCUGGUUCAAGUCCAGGAUGGCCCAUAUCUCUAUGUUGGGGGUAUAGCUCAGUUGGUAGAGCGCCUGCUUUGCAAGCAGGAUGUCAGCGGUUCGAGUCCGCUUACCUCCACUGAUCACCACCUCUUCAUAAUUUAUAGAAGGGAAUUGUUUUGAGUUGUGAUCAAAUUCUGAACGAAUCUAGCUUCCUAAUAAACCUUAUUAAGAUGCUGGAUUCAUUGAAUUAAUUUCAUUGUUUUCAGAGAACCUUGACAACUGCAUAGAUUAUUUUUAAAGACAAUAAGCAUCUUUAAUGAUGCAGAUUUAUUAUUUGUGCGAAUGCAUUAAAUAACAAUUCUAUUAAGCUGAUGCUUCAAUUUUGAAGUUAUUGGUCAAGCUACAA
rnacentral:misc_RNA from 1 species